UUAAUCUAUAACUAAGGUCUGAGUCCUGA
rnacentral:piRNA from 1 species